rnacentral:rRNA from 1 species
GUGAAAAUUAAAAACUUAUAAUUAAUAAAAAAAAUUUUAAUUAAAAAAAUAAUAUAAUGGGGGUUAUAGUAUUUUUAUAAAAUAAAUUAAAAUAUUUAUAGUAAAUUAGUAUUGUAAAAGAAUUUUGAAAUAAUUUUAAAAUAAAAAUUAUUAGAAAGUAAAUUUUAUUUAUUGUAUCUUGUGUAUCAGAGUUUAUUAAUAAAUUUUUAUUUAUAUUUAAAUUUCUCGAAUUUAAAAGAGAUAAUUAAUUAUAAGAGUUAUUGUAGAAUAAAUAUUUUUAAUAAUUAAUUUGAAAUGAAAUGUUAAUCGUUUUUAAAUAUAUCUAGUUUUUUUAGAAAAAAAUUUAAUUUUUAAUUUAGUUAAUAAAUUUGAAUUUUUAUUAAUAAAAAUAAUUUUUAAUUAAAUUUAAUAAUUUAAGGGAUAAGCUUUAGAUUAAAUAUUUAUAAUUAAUAAAAUAAAAUAAAAUAGAAAAUUGUAUAAUUUACAUUGUUAAUAAAUUAUAAUUUAAUUAUAAAUAAUUUCAUUUAAAUAAAAAUUUAAUUUAAUUUAAUUUUUUAUAAAAAAUAAUUUUUUAAUUAAAUAAGUUUUAUUAUAAUGAUAAAAUUAGUAUAAUAAAUAUUAAAUAAUAUAAUAAAAAAUAUUUGUUAAUUAUUUAAAAGGAAUUCGGCAAAUUUUUAUAUUCACUUGUUUAUCAAAAACAUGUCUUUUUGAAAAUAAUUUAAAGUCUAAUCUGCCCACUGAAUUAUUUGAAGGGCUGCAGUAUUUUGACUGUACAAAGGUAGCAUAAUCAUUAGUCUCUUAAUUGGUGACUUGUAUGAAAGAUUGGAUGAGAUAUAUACUGUCUCUUAAAUAUUUAUUGAAUUUAAUUUUUUAAUUAAAAAGUUAAAAUAUUAUAAAAAGACGAGAAGACCCUAUAGAGUUUUAUAAUUAAUGAAUUUUUAUUUAUUUAUAAAUUAAUAAAGUAAUAAUUUAUAAAUUAUUUUAUUGGGGUGAUGAAAAAAUUAAAUAAACUUUUUUUAUAGUUUAACAUAGAUAAGUGGUUUAAUGAUCCAAUAUUAUUGAUUAUAAGAUUAAAUUACCUUAGGGAUAACAGCGUAAUUUUUUUUUUUAGCUCAAAUAAGAAAAAAAGUUUGCGACCUCGAUGUUGGAUUAAGAUAAAAUUUAAAUGCAAAAGUUUAAAGUUUUUGAUCUGUUCGAUCAUUAAAAUCUUACAUGAUCUGAGUUCAAACCGGUGUAAGCCAGGUUGGUUUCUAUCUUUUAUUAAAUGAAAUAUUUUAGUACGAAAGGAUCAAAUAUUUUAAUUAAAUUAAUUUGAUUGAAUUUUAUUAAUAUAAUUUAUUUUUAAAAUUAAAAUUAAAUAAAUUAUU